AUUGAACGCUGGCGGCAGGCCUAACACAUGCAGGUCGAGCGGGGUUUUCGGACCUCGCGGCGGACGGGUGAGUAACGCGUAAGAAGCUACCCGAUAGAGGGGGAUACCAGUUGGAAACGACUGUUAAUACCGCAUAAUGUCUACGGACCAAAGUGUGGGACCUUCGGGCCACAUGCUAUCGGAUGCGCCUACGUGGGAUUAGCUAGUUGGUGAGGUAAUGGCUCACCAAGGCGACGAUCCCUAGCUGGUUUGAGAGGAUGAUCAGCCACACUGGAACUGAGACACGGUCCAGACUCCUACGGGAGGCAGCAGUGGGGAAUACUGGACAAUGGGCGCAAGCCUGAUCCAGCCAUGCCGCGUGUGUGAAGAAGGCCUUCGGGUUGUAAAGCACUUUCAGUAGGGAGGAAGCGUUGUGUGUUAAUAGUACACAGCGUUGACGUUACCUACAGAAGAAGCACCGGCUAACUCUGUGCCAGCAGCCGCCGUAAAAC
rnacentral:rRNA from 1 species